rnacentral:rRNA from 1 species
CGAACGCUGGCGGCGUGCUUAACACAUGCAAGUCGAACGGAAAGGCCCUGCUUUUGUGGGGUGCUCGAGUGGCGAACGGGUGAGUAACACGUGAGUAACCUGCCCUUGACUUUGGGAUAACUUCAGGAAACUGGGGCUAAUACCGGAUAGGAGCUCCUGCUGCAUGGUGGGGGUUGGAAAGUUUCGGCGGUUGGGGAUGGACUCGCGGCUUAUCAGCUUGUUGGUGGGGUAGUGGCUUACCAAGGCUUUGACGGGUAGCCGGCCUGAGAGGGUGACCGGCCACAUUGGGACUGAGAUACGGCCCAGACUCCUACGGGAGGCAGCAGUGGGGAAUAUUGCACAAUGGGCGGAAGCCUGAAGCAGCAACGCCGCGUGCGGGAUGACGGCCUUCGGGUUGUAAACCGCUUUCGCCUGUGACGAAGCGUGAGUGACGGUAAUGGGUAAAGAAGCACCGGCUAACUACGU